UACUCUCACACUCUCUGAUCCUUUGGAUUCAGGGAGUGGUGGACUUGGGUGUUUGCUGCUUUCCCGGUGGCUCACCUCAAAUGCGUUAGUGCACCUCUUGGUUGGACAUAGUACGGCGUGAUAAGUAUCUUCGCCGGCACCUCGCAAGAGGGUGGCCGAUUGGGAGCUCUGUGCUUUCAAACCGUCUUCGGACAAUCUUGACA
rnacentral:misc_RNA from 1 species